CACGUAGGGUGCAAGCGUUGUCCGGAAUUAUUGGGCGUAAAGAGCUCGUAGGCGGUUUGUUGCGUCGGCUGUGAAAUCCCGAGGCUCAACCUCGGGUCUGCAGUCGAUACGAGCAAACUAGAGUGUUGCAGGGGAGACUGGAAUUCCUGGUGUAGCGGUGAAAUGCGCAGAUAUCAGGAGGAACACCGGUGGCGAAGGCGGGUCUCUGGGCCGAUACUGACGCUGAGGAGCGAAAGCGUGGGGAGCGAACAGG
rnacentral:rRNA from 1 species